UACGAAGGGGGCUAGCGUUGCUCGGAAUCACUGGGCGUAAAGCGCACGUAGGCGGACUCUUAAGUCAGGGGUGAAAUCCUGGAGCUCAACUCCAGAACUGCCUUUGAUACUGGGAGUCUUGAGUUCGGGAGAGGUGAGUGGAACUGCGAGUGUAGAGGUGAGAUUCGUAGAUAUUCGCAAGAACACCAGUGGCGAAGGCGGCUCACUGGCCCGAUACUGACGCUGAGGUGCGAAAGCGUGGGGAGCAAACAGG
rnacentral:rRNA from 1 species